ACAGUAAUUCACCUAGCAUUAACCCUAGUAAUCAACACCCUAUUAGCCCUGUUACUAAUAAUUAUUACAUUUUGGCCCACAACUUAAUAUAUAUAGAAAAAUCUAGCCCUUAUGAAUGCAGAUUUGACCCUCUAUCCUCUGCCCACAUUCCCUUCUCCAUAAAAUUCUUUCUAGUAGCCAUCACAUUUCCCCUAUUUGAGUUAGAACUCGCCCUACUACUACCCUUACUGUGAGCCCUUCAAACAAUCUGAUACUAAUAAUCCCUGCGAUAUGUGUUGUGACUUCAUACUUCACCCCCCCCCCGGAUAUUACGGCCAAUAUCAGAGUGGAGUGUGCAC
rnacentral:lncRNA from 1 species